CUGGAUUAGAUAGAAACUAGUCAUUUGCAUUAAUAAACCUAAAGAGUGGAGAUCUGAAAGAGUUUCAUAAUAUUUGUCUCAAUUUAUUGAAGCUGCUCUCAGUGUACUGAAACCACGAGAACAUAGAUCUAUAUAGUCCACUCGGAAACUGCUAUGACCCAAUACUAGGUUUUGGAAACCGCCUGUAGGGACUAAAAUUACGCAAAAACACAAUCAACCAACACAACUCAAAUCUGAAAGAAACGCCCGUGUUUGCGAAAAGUCUGCACUUAUUACUCACUUCUCUGAGAUCCAAACACGACCUAAAUCUGAUAUCUUAACCACAUCCUUACAAAUCUGAUGCAGUUCAAAACACCAGACGUGGCCAAGAAAACACAUAUUGCACAAUUGCAAACGAGAACACCGCACCAAGGAAGCCACCACACCGACACCAAAGAACGAGAAGAACAAAGCUUCCAGAGGCACAAAUCCCUUGAUGAAAUCUAUUUUUUUUCUUCUAAAAGACCAGCCAGAUCGCAUGUAGCCCAAAAAAAAAAGACACCAACAAAACAUCCUCUCGUGGUGCCAACAACAAC
rnacentral:lncRNA from 1 species